rnacentral:tRNA from 1 species
GGAGGAUUAGCUCAGCUGGGAGAGCAUAUGCCUUACAAGCAGGAGGUCACAGGUUCGAGCCCUGUAUCCUCCA